CGUGAGGGAUGACGGCCUUCGGGUUGUAAACCUCUUUCACCAGGGACGAAGCGCAAGUGACGGUACCUGGAGAAGAAGCACCGGCCAACUACGUGCCAGCAGCCGCGGUAAUACGUAGGGUGCGAGCGUUGUCCGGAAUUACUGGGCGUAAAGAGCUCGUAGGUGGUUUGUCGCGUUGUUCGUGAAAACUCACAACUCAAUUGUGGGCGUGCGGGCGAUACGGGCAGACUAGAGUACUGCAGGGGAGACUGGAAUUCCUGGUGUAGCGGUGGAAUGCGCAGAUAUCAGGAGGAACACCGGUGGCGAAGGCGGGUCUCUGGGCAGUAACUGACGCUGAGGAGCGAAAGCGUGGGGAGCGAACAGGAUUAGAUACCCUGGUAGUCCACGCCGUAAACGGUGGGUACUAGGUGUGGGUUCCUUCCUUGGGAUCCGUGCCGUAGCUAACGCAUUAAGUACCCCGCCUGGGGAGUACGGCCGCAAGGCUAAAAACCAAAGGAAUUGACGG
rnacentral:rRNA from 1 species